GUUGUAAAAGGAUGAUAUAUAAAGUGAUCUGCUACUCUUAAUUUAAAUUUUGGCCCAUACCAUUUCACAUUUAUCAUCAGGUGUAAGGUUUUCAACUUCAUCACUUAUAAAUUCUGAUUUUAUUUCAAUGAGUACACCGACACCCUGCUUGUUUUUUUCUGUCUUUUCUGUAUAGUGUGUACUCUUCAGGAAAGAUUUCGAUAUCUUUGAUUGUAGAGUCGAACCAAGUUUCUGUUCCGAUUCCAAUAUCCAGUUUAGCUAUCAAUUAUAUUUUGAAUACGAUGUUGUUUACGUUUGAUAGACUGAAAAUUGAUGUUAAGUAUUUGCAAAGGUUUU
rnacentral:lncRNA from 1 species